CGGCGUGCUUAACACAUGCAAGUCGAACGGAAAGGCCCUGCUUUUGUGGGGUGCUCGAGUGGCGAACGGGUGAGUAACACGUGAGUAACCUGCCCUUGACUUUGGGAUAACUUCAGGAAACUGGGGCUAAUACCGGAUAGGAGCUCCUGCUGCAUGGUGGGGGUUGGAAAGUUUCGGCGGUUGGGGAUGGACUCGCGGCUUAUCAGCUUGUUGGUGGGGUAGUGGCUUACCAAGGCUUUGACGGGUAGCCGGCCUGAGAGGGUGACCGGCCACAUUGGGACUGAGAUACGGCCCAGACUCCUACGGGAGGCAGCAGUGGGGAAUAUUGCACAAUGGGCGGAAGCCUGAUGCAGCAACGCCGCGUGCGGGAUGACGGCCUUCGGGUUGUAAACCGCUUUCGCCUGUGACGAAGCGUGAGUGACGGUAAUGGGUAAAGAAGCACCGGCUAACUACGUGCCAGCAGCCGCGGUGAUACGUAGGGUGCGAGCGUUGUCCGGAUUUAUUGGGCGUAAAGGGCUCGUAGGUGGUUGAUCGCGUCGGAAGUGUAAUCUUGGGGCUUAACCCUGAGCGUGCUUUCGAUACGGGUUGACUUGAGGAAGGUAGGGGAGAAUGGAAUUCCUGGUGGAGCGGUGGAAUGCGCAGAUAUCAGGAGGAACACCAGUGGCGAAGGCGGUUCUCUGGGCCUUUCCUGACGCUGAGGAGCGAAAGCGUGGGGAGCGAACAGGCUUAGAUACCCUGGUAGUCCACGCUGUAAACGGUGGGUACUAGGUGUGGGGUCCAUUCCACGGGUUCCGUGCCGUAGCUAACGCUUUAAGUACCCCGCCUGGGGAGUACGGCCGCAAGGCUAAAACUCAAAGGAAUUGACGGGGCCCCGCACAAGCGGCGGAGCAUGCGGAUUAAUUCGAUGCAACGCGUAGAACCUUACCUGGGUUUGACAUGGAUCGGGAGUGCUCAGAGAUGGGUGUGCCUCUUUUGGGGUCGGUUCACAGGUGGUGCAUGGCUGUCGUCAGCUCGUGUCGUGAGAUGUUGGGUUAAGUCCCGCAACGAGCGCAACCCUUGUUCACUGUUGCCAGCACGUUAUGGUGGGGACUCAGUGGAGACCGCCGGGGUCAACUCGGAGGAAGGUGGGGAUGACGUCAAGUCAUCAUGCCCCUUAUGUCCAGGGCUUCACGCAUGCUACAAUGGCUGGUACAGAGAGUGGCGAGCCUGUGAGGGUGAGCGAAUCUCGGAAAGUCGGUCUCAGUUCGGAUUGGGGUCUGCAACUCGACCUCAUGAAGUCGGAGUCGCUAGUAAUCGCAGAUCAGCAACGCUGCGGUGAAUACGUUCCCGGGGCUUGUACACACCGCCCGUCAAGUCAUGAAAGUUGGUAACACCCGAAGCCGGUGGCCUAACCGUUGUGGGGGAGCCGUCGAAGGUGGGACUGGUGAUUAGGACUAA
rnacentral:rRNA from 1 species